CCCUUAGAUGUUCUGGGCCGCACGCGUGCUACACUGAGUGGAUCAGCGGGUCAGGUUGCGCGAAAGCGUUUCCUAAUCUUUAAAUCCGCUCGUGAUGGGGAUUGACGGUUGCAAUUUUCUGUCAUGAACGAGGAAUACCUUGUAAGCGCGGGUCAUCAUCCCGCGCUGAAUACGUCCCUGCCCUUUGUACACACCGCCCGUCGCACCUACCGAUUGAAUGGUCCGGUGAAAUCUUCGGAUUGAGACUUUGAUUUCUUCACGGAAAACGCUGUUUUAAGAAGUUGAUUAAACCUUACCAUUUAGAGGAAGGUGAAGUCGUAACA
rnacentral:rRNA from 1 species